rnacentral:lncRNA from 1 species
CGUGAUGAAAUCUGAUAACUCAGUAAUUCUGUACACAAAACAUUGCACAAAUGCACAUUUAGCGUUUUCGAACCUGCUUUAUUACUUUUGUAGUUUCACUAAGAAUUUGAUUCUGUAUUGAAAUAUUACUUACGCGGAAUUAUCCUGCAUUAUAUUUUAUUUAAAACAAUUUCUGUUUUUCAUUUUUCGAUUAAAAAUGCCCAGCUGUAUUUGUUACAGCUCAAGAAAUGCUAAUUCAAAAAAUGCAAACAUCUCUUUUCAUAAGUAAGUACCAUCAGUAACAAACUAAUAACAGUUAUUUGACUAUGAGCAGCUUUAUUAAUAUGACUUUUACAUUAAAAUAAUAAUACAUUUUUAUUUUAGGUUUUCGGUAAAAAAACAUAUAGGCAAAAUGGUUAAAUUUUGUAAAAAAAAAAAUAGACCAAACAUCACAGAUAUUACUAAAAACAGUUUGAUCUGUUCAACUCAUUUUGACUCUGCAUGUUUUAUUUUUAAUUAAAACAAAUAAAAGUAGUAUUUCAAAACUGCUGUUCCAACUUGUAUUAAGAGUAAACAAUGUAAGUAUUGGUGUUAUGUGCAAUACUAAAAAAUAACUAAACAUUUAGAAUUCUUUUACUGAAUUAUUCAUUUUUAGGCUAAACCAGAUAACUCAGAAUUAAUUAAAUUUGUUCUGCCUGAAGUUUCAAAUUCUAAUGCACAUAGUACAAGUGACAACCGUGUUUGGUUUUAAAUAAUUGUAGUCAAGGUAGAUAAAAAUAUUUUAUUUUUAUUGUUUCACAUAUUUAUAAAUUGUUCUUAUUUCCUUUAAAUAAUAAUUAUUACCUCUUUUAUUUUAGUUACCUCUAUAUGAAUCAAAUGUCGAAGAAACUUUGAAUAUUUCGUUGAUAUCUGUAGAUGCCCAAGACACUUCGAAAAAUGAAAAUGUGUAUGUUUAGAUACCUAUCUAAUUACUGAAAUAUUUUUAAAAAUAUAUAUAAUUUUGUUUCUUACAAAGUUAUAAAAAAUAAAAAUAAAAGUAAUUUAUAAAAAAAACAAAGGACACAUACUUCAGAGGGUAAAUUGACGUUUUGUCCCUGCCUUUCCGCCCCCAUAAGAAAACAAGUCCAAGAACAAGUUUUGUCGUUGAUUUUUUUGACGGGGGUGAAAUGUAUGCGAUUUAUUUUGCAAGUGGUGCUCCUUUUGUAGGUGGGAAGGUAUGAUACAGAUGACAAUUUAAUGUAUAUCUGUAAGCAACGAUAAACCAUUGCUAAUGAAAAAAAAUUCUGAGCGAGGUUCAGUUAAUAAUGUUGUUUUGUCAGCAAUAUAUACAUAUUAUGAUCAAAUAAUGACAACAAUGAGAGGUUUCCUUGACUACAAUGAUUGUUUAAAAAGGGAUUUUCAAUAUAAUAAAACCUUAAUAAUAACAAAAAAAAUGAAUAAAAACGGUUGCCAAUGACAACUUUAUUUUUAAUCUUGCGAUCUUUUUUAACCUAAGAACGAGGUUUUCUUCUGAAUCUUAAAUAUUAAUGAGAAUUUUUAAAAAAAUGACUCCUCUAAAGUACGACCUAGAGAAAAUUUUCUUUCAGAAUAGGUACUAUACUUGAAAAUCAAAGUAUGCUUUAUGGUAGAAAGUGUUCACCUAAAAAAAAUAAUAAUAAUAAAAUAUAUCAUUGAAAAACCAAUACAUUCUUCGCUCCACUUAGAAUCUAAAAAAACAAUCAAUAUAUUAUAUAAUAUAUGAUAAUAAAUACCUGU